UGGCCAGGCAAGUCCGUCGGGAAAUCUACCCGCUCAACGGGUAGGCGUCCGGCGGAAACUGCCUGGCUUGGGACCGGAAGACCCGAGGAGUACGUCCGGGGUAGGAGUGAAAUCCCGUAAUCCUGGACGGACUACCGAUGGCGAAAGCACCUCGGGAGUACGGAUCCGACAGUGAGGGACGAAAGCUGGGGUCUCGAACCGGAUUAGAUACCCGGGUAGUCCCAGCCGUAAACGAUGCCCGCUCGGUCCAGUGCAGGCUACGAGCCUCCACUGAGCCACAGUGAAGACGGAAGCGGGCCGCCUGGGAA
rnacentral:rRNA from 1 species